CGGAAUCCGCUGAGAGCGGGAGUUCGAAAGAGAACGGCGCACAGGUCGCUGCAUGGUUUGUCGUCAGCUCGUGUCGUGAGAUGUUGGGUUAAGUCCCGCAACGAGCGCAACCCUUGUCCUUAGUUGCUACGCAAGAGCACUCUAAGGAGACUGCCGGUGACAAACCGGAGGAAGGUGGGGAUGACGUCAAGUCCUCAUGGCCCUUAUGGGUAGGGCUUCACACGUCAUACAAUGGUCGGAACAGAGGGUUGCCAACCCGCGAGGGGGAGCUAAUCCCAGAAAACCGAUCGUAGUCCGGAUUGCACUCUGCAACUCGAGUGCAUGAAGCUGGAAUCGCUAGUAAUCGCGGAUCAGCAUGCCGCGGUGAAUACGUUCCCGGGUCUUGUACACA
rnacentral:rRNA from 1 species